UACGUAGGAUGCAAGCGUUGUCCGGAAUUAUUGGGCGUAAAGAGCGCGCAGGCGGUAUGACAAGUCAGAUGUGAAAGAGGCCGGCUUAACCGGCAAGGGUCAUUUGAAACUGUCAGACUAGAGUGCAGCAGAGGAUAGUGGAAUUCCCGGUGUAGUGGUGAAAUGCGUAGAUAUCGGGAGGAACACCAGUGGCGAAGGCGGUCUGCUGGGCCAAGACUGACGCUGAGGCGCGACAGCGUGGGGAGCAAACAGG
rnacentral:rRNA from 1 species